AGGUGGUGAUACGAGGAAGCCUUUGGGUCUCACGCAUAUGUUCAACGUUAUGCCAGUACCAGUGAGCUUGCCCAAUAAGCUUCAUUUUAGCAAACCGUACUUUUCUAUCAUCAGUCAUGUCGUACCACUCAAAAUAAUUAUCCAUGGCUGCUCUCCAAUCAAGGUACACGCUCGGCUCUAAUUGACCAGCAAAUGUGGGGGCUUCUACUCACACGGUACGAAGUAGUCUCUCGUCAAGAUCGCGCUGGUGAUCAGUGAUAGUCAACUUUAAAGACCACGCAAUAGCACGUAUCUGGUAGGAUAGUGAUUACGGGUAUCGAUCCACAGGGAUUGGGGUAUAGUUAUUUUUCUUAAAAAUAAAAAUAUUUAAAAUGAUGAAUUUGUGAAGAUUAU
rnacentral:lncRNA from 1 species